GAGUUUGAUCCUGGCUCAGAACGAACGCUGGCGGCAGGCCUAACACAUGCAAGUCGAACGGUUCCUUCGGGGACAGUGGCGGACGGGUGAGUAACGCGUGGGAACGUGCCUUCCAGUUCGGAAUAACCCAGGGAAACUUGGGCUAAUACCGGAUACGUCCUUUGGGAGAAAGAGUUUUAUCGCUGGAAGAUCGGCCCGCGUCUGAUUAGCUGGUUGGUGGGGUAACGGCCUACCAAGGCGACGAUCGGUAGCUGGUCUGAGAGGAUGAUCAGCCACACUGGGACUGAGACACGGCCCAGACUCCUACGGGAGGCAGCAGUGGGGAAUAUUGGACAAUGGGCGCAAGCCUGAUCCAGCCAUGCCGCGUGAGUGAUGACGGCCUUAGGGUUGUAAAGCUCUUUCGGCGGGGACGAUAGUGACGGUACCCGCAGAAGAAGCCCCGGCUAACUUCGUG
rnacentral:rRNA from 1 species